GCCGGGGUGGCAGAGCGGCAAAGAUUCGGGCCAAUGCGCCGGACUCGAGAUCCGGUUCUCCUCUGGGAGAGCAGGGGUUCAAGUCCCCUCCCCGGCG
rnacentral:tRNA from 1 species